rnacentral:rRNA from 1 species
UACGGAGGGUGCAAGCGUUAUCCGGAUUCACUGGGUUUAAAGGGUGCGCAGGCGGGACAUUAAGUCAGGGGUGAAAGACGGUUGCUCAACAAUCGCAGUGCCUUUGAUACUGGUGUUCUUGGGUGACCUUGAGGUAGGCGGAAUGGGUGGUGUAGCGGUGAAAUGCAUAGAUACCACCCAGAACUCCGAUUGCGAAGGCAGCCUACUGGAGGUUUACCGACGCUCAGGCACGAAAGCGUGGGGAUCAAACAGG